GCCUGGGUGGCUCAGUCAGUUAAGCAUCUGAUUUCAGCUCAGAUCAUGAUCUCGUGCUUUGUGGGUUUGAACCCCACAUCAGGCU
rnacentral:tRNA from 1 species